rnacentral:rRNA from 1 species
UACGGGGGGGGGCAAGCGUUGUUCGGAAUUACUGGGCGUAAAGGGUGCGUAGGCGGCGCGGUAAGUCGGGUGUGAAAUCUCGGAGCUUAACUCCGAAACUGCAUUCGAUACUGCCGUGCUUUGAGGACUGGAGAGGAGACUGGAAUUUACGGUGUAGCGGUGAAAUGCGUAGAUAUCGUAAGGAAGACCAGUGGCGAAGGCGGGUCUCUGGACAGUUCCUGACGUGAGGCACGAAGGUCAGGGGAGCAAACGGG